rnacentral:rRNA from 1 species
AUUGAACGCUGGCGGCAGGCCUAACACAUGCAAGUCGAACGGUAACAGGAAGAAGCUUGCUUCUUUGCUGACGAGUGGCGGACGGGUGAGUAAUGUCUGGGAAACUGCCUGAUGGAGGGGGAUAACUACUGGAAACGGUAGCUAAUACCGCAUAACGUCGCAAGACCAAAGAGGGGGACCUUCGGGCCUCUUGCCAUCGGAUGUGCCCAGAUGGGAUUCGCUAGUAGGUGGGGUAACGGCUCACCUAGGCGACGAUCCCUAGCUGGUCUGAGAGGAUGACCAGCCACACUGGAAGUGAGACACGGUCCAGACUCCUACGGGAGGCAGCAGUGGGGAAUAUUGCACAAUGGGCGCAAGCCUGAUGCAGCCAUGCCGCGUGUAUGAAGAAGGCCUUCGGGUUGUAAAGUACUUUCAGCGGGGAGGAAGGGAGUAAAGUUAAUACCUUUGCUCAUUGACGUUACCCGCAGAAGAAGCACCGGCUAACUCCGUG